AACCAGGAAAUGUGGAAUGUGUACUUGUGUAGUCAUGCUCUAGUUCAUUGAAUGUGUGGUUGCCAGACAAAUCAGUUACGGUGGUAAUCGAGAUUCGAGAUAGCAAGUUCUUCUUCACAAUGAAUAGGUUUCAAUGAAUAGGUUUCAAUCUAAGUCAAUGGCGACCAUGAUGAUCAUUGUGCUUGUUCUUCUUCACAAUUGUCCAGCAAGUUCGCGCUCCAUAGUAAAUCCUACAUCAGCUAUUCUUGUUAUACAUAUUGUUUAAC
rnacentral:lncRNA from 1 species